rnacentral:tRNA from 1 species
CCGAGCGUAGCCCAAUGGUAGAGGCAGAGGACUUAAAAUCCUUCCAGUAUGGGUUCGAAUCCCAUCGCUCGGA